GCCUGGGUGGCUCAGUCGGUCAAGCGUCUGACUUCGGCUCAAGUCAUGAUCUCACAGUCCGUGGGUUUAAGCCCCACAUCAGGCC
rnacentral:tRNA from 1 species